AGUCGAGCGGUAGCACAGAGAGCUUGCUCUCGGGUGACGAGCGGCGGACGGGUGAGUAAUGUCUGGGAAACUGCCUGAUGGAGGGGGAUAACUACUGGAAACGGUAGCUAAUACCGCAUAACGUCGCAAGACCAAAGUGGGGGACCUUCGGGCCUCAUGCCAUCAGAUGUGCCCAGAUGGGAUUAGCUAGUAGGUGGGGUAACGGCUCACCUAGGCGACGAUCCCUAGCUGGUCUGAGAGGAUGACCAGCCACACUGGAACUGAGACACGGUCCAGACUCCUACGGGAGGCAGCAGUGGGGAAUAUUGCACAAUGGGCGCAAGCCUGAUGCAGCCAUGCCGCGUGUGUGAAGAAGGCCUUCGGGUUGUAAAGCACUUUCAGCGGGGAGGAAGGCGUUAAGGUUAAUAACCUUGGCGAUUGACGUUACCCGCAGAAGAAGCACCGGCUAACUCCGUGCCAGCAGCCGCGGUAAUACGGAGGGUGCAAGCGUUAAUCGGAAUUACUGGGCGUAAAGCGCACGCAGGCGGUCUGUCAAGUCGGAUGUGAAAUCCCCGGGCUCAACCUGGGAACUGCAUUCGAAACUGGCAGGCUAGAGUCUUGUAGAGGGGGGUAGAAUUCCAGGUGUAGCGGUGAAAUGCGUAGAGAUCUGGAGGAAUACCGGUGGCGAAGGCGGCCCCCUGGACAAAGACUGACGCUCAGGUGCGAAAGCGUGGGGAGCAAACAGGAUUAGAUACCCUGGUAGUCCACGCCGUAAACGAUGUCGAUUUGGAGGUUGUGCCCUUGAGGCGUGGCUUCCGGAGCUAACGCGUUAAAUCGACCGCCUGGGGAGUACGGCCGCAAGGUUAAAACUCAAAUGAAUUGACGGGGGCCCGCACAAGCGGUGGAGCAUGUGGUUUAAUUCGAUGCAACGCGAAGAACCUUACCUGGUCUUGACAUCCACAGAACUUAGCAGAGAUGCUUUGGUGCCUUCGGGAACUGUGAGACAGGUGCUGCAUGGCUGUCGUCAGCUCGUGUUGUGAAAUGUUGGGUUAAGUCCCGCAACGAGCGCAACCCUUAUCCUUUGUUGCCAGCGGUUAGGCCGGGAACUCAAAGGAGACUGCCAGUGAUAAACUGGAGGAAGGUGGGGAUGACGUCAAGUCAUCAUGGCCCUUACGACCAGGGCUACACACGUGCUACAAUGGCAUAUACAAAGAGAAGCGACCUCGCGAGAGCAAGCGGACCUCAUAAAGUAUGUCGUAGUCCGGAUUGGAGUCUGCAACUCGACUCCAUGAAGUCGGAAUCGCUAGUAAUCGUAGAUCAGAAUGCUACGGUGAAUACGUUCCCGGGCCUUGUACACACCGCCCGUCACACCAUGGGAGUGGGUUGCAAAAGAAGUAGGUAGCUUAACCUUCGGGAG
rnacentral:rRNA from 1 species